CAAAUUAAGUUAUAGAAACAAAAUUAUUUACAAUAAUUUUUUUGAUUGUGCAAUUCAGUCUGAUUUGA
rnacentral:tRNA from 1 species